ensembl:lncRNA
CCCCGUGCUCCUAGUACCCCUGCUCCUUGGAAGGGACUGGCCAGGAUUCUCGAUGGGCCCGGCUAUCGAAUCUGGCAGGCCGCGGCAACACACGAAGAGGACCUGGGCCUGGCAGGCCUACCUGGCCCAGGACGACGGAGACGCUGCCACGGAAGGUAAGGCUCCCCUACACACUAAUCCUCUGUCUUCUGUCUUUCACCUGGUUUGUGAUGCUGAAGCCACAAACAAAGAAAAUCGAAGCCGUAAAGGACUACCCUCGACCCACGUCAAAGAAACAGCUUCCCCCCUCUCAGAUCUCACAACGAAGGGCCAGCCGGACCGGGUUAAGUGGUCAGCCGAAGCAGAGAGGGCCUUCCAAGUCCAGAAAUGUGCCCUCACCAGCGCGCCGGUACUGCGCAAACGGGACUUUGGCCUCCCAUUCACGGUGCACACCGAUGCAUCCGAAACCGGGCUUGGCGCAGUUCUCUUACAAACCUUCGACGGAGAAGAACACCCAGUCCUCUAUAUCAGCCAGAAGUUGUCCCCCGCUGAGAGGAAAUACGCAGCCGUGGAGCGAGAGGCCCUGGCAAUAAAGUGGGCCAUCGAGGAGCUGCGGUACUACCUGGCUGGCCGGCACUUCGUCCUAGUAAUGGACCAUGCCCGCUUACAGUGGAUGGCCAAGGCCAAAGACAUGAACGCCAGGGUAACCUGCUGGUCCUCACCUUACAGGACUUCUCAUAUCAGGUCCAACACCGGGCAGGGGCCCAACAUGGGAAUGCAGAUGGGCUCUCGCAGCGAGACACGCUCUGGGCCCGCCACCCAGCGGCAGUAGGCUCGGAACUGAGGGGGGGUACUGUCGCGACGGACGGCCAGCCGGCGCACAUGAUAAGAAAGUUGAUCCUUCCCCGACUGCCGCGCAGGCACGAAGCGGACAGCCUCGCGCCAAACACACCAUCAGCUGGAAGGACCGUCACGGUGGGGCGGAACCGCCGAUACUACACCGGUCGGCGAUUGGGGAGUGAGUCGGGAGAAUCCCACCACUCAGGCUACGGGGGAAGAGUAUAAGAGGAUGCUCUUCCGCCCGUGCGAGGGAGAGUACUAAUUCACAGACCACGUGUGCGUCCUUUUGCUGCAUAAAGGUAUUCCGACCUCAGAAACGG